GACGUAGGAGGCGAGCGUUUAUCCGGAUUCACUGGGCGUAAAGCGCAUGUAGGCGGCUCGAUAAGUCGUGUGUUAAAGCCCCUGGCUCAACUGGGGGAGUCAUGCGAGACUAUCGGACUUGAGGGCAGUAGAGGCACGUGGAACUCCCGGUGUAGCGGUGAAAUGCGCAGAUAUCAGGAAGAACACCCGUGGCGAAGGCGGCUCUCUGGGACGGUACUGACGCUGAGACGCGAAAGCGUGGGGAGCGAACAGG
rnacentral:rRNA from 1 species